UACGGGGGGUGCGAGCGUUGUCCGGAAUCGCUGGGCGUAAAGGGCGCGUAGGUGGUUUGAUAAGGGUGUGGUGAAAGCCCGGGGCUCAACCCCGGGUCUGCCGUGCCGACUGUCAAACUCGAGGGCUGUAGAGGCAGACGGAAUUCCGGGUGUAGCGGUGGAAUGCGUAGAGAUCCGGAGGAAGACCGGUGGCGAAGGCGGUCUGCUGGGCAGUUUCUAACACUGAGGCGCGACAGCGUGGGGAGCAAACAGG
rnacentral:rRNA from 1 species